AUAAGAAACCAUCCCUGACCUUCUGUGGGUCAUGAAAGCAGCAAAAUAAGAGCCACAAAACUGCGUAUAAAAACAGUGAACAGAUAAAUGCUGUGUGCAGGAACUUUGAGAACAACAGUGUUGGGUCAUGAAGCUCUGGCUAGACGUGUAUCUAACGGUGGACUAUUCAAAAGUCAAAUACAGCUGCAGUGUUUAAGUGUGGCUUCAAGGGAUUAUUGCAUAAGGAACAGGACUACAUUUUUAGCAACAUGACAGGCCUCCAUUUAAAAAAUAAAAAGAAAGAAAAGUCUAAAUAUUUAAUG
rnacentral:lncRNA from 1 species